AUCUGAAAGAGGAAAAAAAAAAAAGACCUGUGUCCCCAGGGCUAGUCCUUUUCCUAGGUCUGGUUUUACAAAUUCUGGUAAUAAAC
ensembl:snoRNA SNORA72 Small nucleolar RNA SNORA72